CAUCACCUUGACCUCAUGAAUUCAUAAUUUAUGUCACCAUAUUAAUCAUUGUGGGUAUAUGGUUACUUCUCUCACCAUCUCUCUUAAACUUGCUCUACCAUUGCCUAAACCACUAUCACCACCCCAUCUACCUGGGCAUGCUCAUGCAUUGUUGCAUGUGGUCUAUCUCAAUCUUUUCAAUCUUGAAUUCAAAUGAAAACUUCUAUUCAUCAACUCUACCUCGGGAAUUAUCUUCUUCAUAAGUUGGUCUCAACCAAAGUGGUGGAAAUUAUUCUCAUGCCACAUGUCACCCUCAUACUCCUUUCUAUCCAUAUGUACCUACUCCUAUUCUAAUCCUCAUCAAAGUUUUCCAUUGACAUCUUCCACAACACCAUGCCAUAGCCUAUGCACAUGGACAUGGAAGUCUCUCACACAUUGUUCACUUGUUCUUGGCAAAAUUGGAGCCGACCAUUGAGAUUGGCAUGACAAUUUCGGCCAGCCCUCCCUCCUCACUUUCUUCUCUUGCAAGCCUUGCCUCCCAACUACCCCAACAAUUAAAUGGGCAGCCACCCACCUUGGCCAAUGAAAAAGGAGGCAGCUACCCCUCUCCCUCUAUAAAUUGGCCCUAGCCGGCCACCUCCUCCCCUUUGGCUUCAUUUCCUUCACUCUCCACUCCCCCACACUCUCCCCCUACCUCUCCCCACGAGCUGCUGCCCCUCCCAAGCUUCAUGGCCGGCCAUGGCCAUGGAGAUUCACCAAGAGGAAGCUCUUUCCCUCCCUCAAGCUCUCCCUCACCAUGAGAGCAUCCCUCUCACUCUCUUCUCCCCUAACCUUUGAUGAAUCCAGCUCCCCUUUCUCCUUUAUCCUCUCACAAGAUUGGAUCUUGAUGCAGGUGCAUGUUGGUCCAAGCAUGGAGAAGGUUGAGCAAUCCUCAGAUCUGAAGUUCUUGAGCAAAGUUCGUCCAAAAUCUUGCAGUAAUUUCUGUAAUCUUGCUGUUUCAGAUUCUGGUACGAACUUGUAAAAUCCGCCAAAACUCUUGUACAGAUCCAAAUCGAGUGAUUCAAAGUUCCUCAGAUAGGUAUUGAAAAGAUCUACAACUUGGCGUUGGUCUCAUCCUCAAAUUCUUUACGGAUUUUGCAUGAUCAAGAUCUGGUCAGAUCUGACUUUGUCGAAUUAAACCAGGAGCUUGGAAACGAAUUUUUGAAUCUUAUAUUUACUAAUUGGAGGCACCAUAAAAGCCUCCACGUUAAUCCACAUCAUUAGAAUUAAUUAAGACAAUUAGAUCUAAAAUUUAUGGUUAGGAUUAAUCUAAAAGUCGUGAGUUAUAGUGUACGUAAAAAAGUCAACUUGGCAAUGUUGGCACGUUAGGUUAUUUUGUUUUGCCCCGUACGUAUAAGUUUGGAGGUUCAAAAAAAUCGUCAGCCGAAUGAAUUAUGAUAUGCGACCUGCUAUCCCAUGAACGCGAGUCGUUAUCUGUUCGGUCUCAUCAUGCGACCUUUUUUUUCCGUGAACUUGAGUCGUUAUCUCUUUGGUCUCAUACAAAGUAAGGAUUCUAGGUAUAAUGAUCCAUCGCGGCUGCACGGGACUGUAGUCCAAACAAAGUUGCCUUCCUGAUAAAAAAAAAACCUACACGUUUUGUUUCUCUAAGGCCAAGACGCUAACCUUACAUUUAAAAUAAACGUAUCCAGCUUAUCCAAUCGAUCUCCGCCUGGUUACGAUGCAUCUCAAAAGAAACUCACGACAUGCGGCCUGAAUCGCGGAUACGGCAAGGAGGGCGUCUGACCAAUAAACCGCCGGUGACGUCGGAAGCUCGAGGCAUCUGCAUGCCGUGAGGGCCACGUUUGAAUUCCGCAUUAUUCGUUGCGUUGAGAUGCUUCAGACAUGAUGAUGCACGUGUGUACAACAAUGACUACUCCUAUCGUAUGCAUGUGCAUAUCUGUAUUUCCAUGACAUGGUAUCGAUCAAGAACUGAAACUGACCUCUUAUUAUUUUGAAGAAUCAUGCAUAUACACAGGAUGUUUCAGAGCAUCCCUGUGGUUGCUACCGGUGGCUGAACAUGGACUGCAACUUCGACUACAAUCAAUCAAAGACAGGCUAUAUACAAAAGCAGCAACUGGUGCAAGAAACGGGACCUCGGAGGGGUGAGGUAGAGUUCGGUAAAGAAAAGAAGAUGGUAUCAUGAUGAGCAUCUUAUUAGCUAUAAACUACGGAAACAGCAAGGAUUUGUAGCUAAAGCGUUUACUUUUUAUAUCGAUGCAUAUGGAGCUGCAUCUACUUUUUAUCCAUAUUACGUAUGCACUUGGUCUCAAAAUAGAGACAUAUAAUGUUUGCUUUGGUAUGAACGUAUGAUACCCUACUGCA